AGUGAACGCUGGCGGUAGGCCUAACACAUGCAAGUCGAACGGCAGCACAGUAAGAGCUUGCUCUUACGGGUGGCGAGUGGCGGACGGGUGAGGAAUACAUCGGAAUCUACUUUUUCGUGGGGGAUAACGUAGGGAAACUUACGCUAAUACCGCAUACGACCUACGGGGGAAAGCAGGGGAUCUUCGGACCUUGCGCGAUUGAAUGAGCCGAUGUCGGAUUAGCUAGUUGGCGGGGUAAAGGCCCACCAAGGCGACGAUCCGUAGCUGGUCUGAGAGGAUGAUCAGCCACACUGGAACUGAGACACGGUCCAGACCCCUACGGGAGGCAGCAGUGGGGAAUAUUGGACAAUGGGCGCAAGCCUGAUCCAGCCAUACCGCGUGGGUGAAGAAGGCCUUCGGGUUGUAAAGCCCUUUUGUUGGGAAAGAAAAGCAGCAGGUUAAUACCCCGCUGUUCUGACGGUACCCAAAGAAUAAGCACCGGCUAACUUCGUG
rnacentral:rRNA from 1 species